GUGGGGAAUCUUGCGCAAUGGGCGAAAGCCUGACGCAGCCAUGCCGCGUGAAUGAUGAAGGUCUUAGGAUUGUAAAAUUCUUUCACCGGGGACGAUAAUGACGGUACCCGGAGAAGAAGCCCCGGCUAACUUCGUGCCAGCAGCCGCGGUAAUACGAAGGGGGCUAGCGUUGCUCGGAAUUACUGGGCGUAAAGGGCGCGUAGGCGGACAGUUUAGUCAGAGGUGAAAGCCCAGGGCUCAACCUUGGAAUUGCCUUUGAUACUGGCUGUCUUGAGUACAGGAGAGGUGAGUGGAACUCCGAGUGUAGAGGUGAAAUUCGUAGAUAUUCGGAAGAACACCAGUGGCGAAGGCGACUCACUGGCCCGUUACUGACGCUGAGGCGCGAAAGCGUGGGGAGCAAACAGGAUUAGAAACCCCAGUAGUCC
rnacentral:rRNA from 1 species